rnacentral:lncRNA from 1 species
CGAAAAAUAGAUUUCACUGUUUUAAACAAUAUAUUGGUAGAUUAUAAUUACAGUGGGAAGAUCAUGAUCAGGAAAGAAAAUGUACAGAUAUGUGGUUAAAGAAGAUGAAUUUCUAUCUCUAUCUACUGAAUAAUUGAUUAUGCUAAACUCUGGUAAUGUUCUUAAUGCCCCUGUUUCUUGAAGAAAAAGUGUAUAUGACUGUGUUAUUAAUUGGGUAAAGCAUGAAUUAAACGUUAGAUAUGAUAGUUUGGCGAAAGAACAUGUAUCAUUAGAGUGCAUACGAUGAAUGUAGUCAAAUGAACCUCUUUUUAAAAAUUUUCCUAAAAUUAAAGAUUAUUUAAUCAAAGCUUUUCAAUUUCGUAUACUUAGACUCGACAACUAACUAUUCCACAAACUAUUCGAAAUACACCUAGAAUGUCUGGACAAAAGGUUAUUCUAGUAUUCAGGCGUUCACGUGGAACCUUGUGUAUGAUCCAACA